GUCCACGUGUUAAAUAGGUGGUUAUUUGGAUAGAUGCUGCUGAAAGCUUCUGCUAUCUUCCCCAGGUCAGGAAUGAAACACACAGGCCCUGGUGGGGGCUCUGGUUUUUUCUGGAAUUGUUCUGCUGGAAACUGCUCUCUGUGAAUUGACAGCUAGUGAGACAAGCAGCUGGAGCAAAUGAAGGGCAGUGCACUCCUCCCAUGUCCAUCCUGUGGGCUCCUCCUAGGCCGAGGAAGCUCGCUGCCCAGGCUGGGACAGACCCCCAAACAAGGGGAGCUGACAGCUCCACAACCCUCAGCCCGUGGGGACUGAAGCAGGUGAGUCUCCACCCAGCCUCUCUCCUUUGGACCAGCAUGAACUCUGGAGGCGUCUGGGUGCAGCUGCCUCAGACCCUACUGUCUUCAACGGGGACUGAGGUUGCAGUUUAGCUGGCUUUCCUGUUCCUACUUCCUCGGGUCCCCCUCAAAGGAGCCCCCUGCAGCCCUGUGCCACCUCACUCUGGCUUGGCCCUGCUCCUCCAAACCACCAGGCCUGCCCUCCCUUGUCCUCACAGAUCUGACAAUCUCCACAGUGCUGUGCAGACUUCAGCUCCAAGCUGCUGCAAAUGAUCGAGAUAAAAUCCUUUCCUGACAGCGUCAUGAACCGUGGCCUGUUUGAGGGCAAAAGAGGAAAUGAGAACCAAGACAAGCCAAGACUUCCAAGUGAGCCCUGAGACACCUCUCAGCUGGCUGGGUGGCCAGAGAUCCACCCUGCAGGAGCCGCACCGAGGCAGGUGGGCCACAUCUCCCAGCAAGUGGCACACAAGAAGGCUCCUCCCAAGAGGAGGCAUCUAUGGUCUUCCCAGAGCUAAGGCAGCAGGUCCAGGAGCCCAGCCAGUCACUGGCCACCUGCAGGCCUCUACACUGCAGACCUGGCCAAGCAGGCGGUGCCCAUGGCCCCUUGCGAGUGGGCCCAAUGUGGCGGAACAGGCGGAACCUGGGCAAUUGUCCUGCACUCCUGGCCAGCCAGUCUGUGGAUGCUCCUGCCAGGCAGGACCGAGCCACUCCCAGUCUGGCCAGUGCCAGACUUUUCUCAGAUCCAGCCACGCCCUCUCUGGACACGGUGUGGACACUGGCAGACCGAGCAGGCAGUCACCUCCCCUGGCUGGCUCUGACCUCCUGCAGCACAAGGAGCGGAUGCAUUGCACUUCCAGGCAUCCAGGCACUGAGGGUCACUGCUCCAUUUCUUUCUGCUACCACUAAUUCAAAACAGGGCAGGGAGCAGCUAGGCAGCAGCUGGGAGAGCUGCGGACCCCUCCACCCAGUUGCUGGUGGGCUCCAUCCAGCCGUACCGCCCACACAUGCCCACCUCCAGCUGCCUCGGCCCAGCUGCACGGAUGGACUCAACGGCAACCACUGCAGCAGCUCCCAGGGGACUCCUCAUGGUCAGCUGAGCUUUGCUUUGAGUCAGCGUGCACGGUUCCCAAAUGUCGGUGGUGAUUUUUGUAAGUGAGGUGGGAGGUCACCACAGGAAGAGUGGAGAGGCAUCCUCCCUUCCCGCUGUUUCCCGCCUUUUCCUCCUAGCCGUUGCCUUUUCAUGUUGUCCUCCCUGCUGCCUGCCCCAGCCCACACUGAGCAGGAAGGUGGGUGGGGACGGGGAGGGGAGCGGAAUGGACGGAAGCAGAAAGGGUGGUGCCAUCAUCUCUGGCCUAGCUUCUAUUUGAUCAUUAGUUUCAAUUCAAGAAAACGUUCUUUAGAGGGAAUUUUAAAAAUAAAUCACAUGCACUUCUUGAGUUAAGAAAACCAAGUGUCACAAUCGUUGUUACCAUGCAGGUGAGAGGAGGAGAGGGGACGGGAAAGUGAAGGGGCAUGAGAAAGGUGGAUGGGACUGAGUGUCUAUAUAUAGCCACGCACAUGCUGGCCUCCCAGUCCACAGCACCAGCGGCAUCUCCCCCACCCUACAACGUGGAGGUGGACGUUGCCCCAAGGUGAGGAGCACGUCAGGGUGGCUUCCAGGUUCAGCUUCUGGCUCAGGCCUCAGCCUUCAUAUGCGCAUUCUGCUCUAGAACAUUCCUAUUCAUGCGUGGUCGUCAUUCACUGGUGGCCGCUUAGGUGCACUUCUCAAUGGCAGUGCUCAGCACGGAGCGAUGCUUCUGAGUUGCAGUUUCUUCAGUAUGGUUCCCACAGCCCCUCCCAAGGUGGAGGAUGCUGCCAAGGAAACCGAGUCACCACGUUUGCUGGUGAGCUAUGGAGCUAUCAGUGAGGUGUGGAUUUCUGAGGCCUCUGGCGGGAGCCUGAGUCAAGGCCCUGAGUGUCUAGACCAGCCAGAGUGUCUGAGUGUAGGUCAGCAAAUGUAGGCAAACGUCUAGGAGGUGGUGUCCUACAGGGAGCCGAAGGCCCGUGGGACGUGACCAACUCGGCAUUCCGCUGGAGGCUAUAUAAUCAAACAGCAGACUGUUUAUCAUGAAUGCAGGAUGUGGGCAAACUCACACUGCCCUGCCACCAAAAGGUUUGCUAACAGACAUCACUCCUAGCUCCGGGCUCCUUAAAGUUAUCUGCUUAAACAAUCUAGCCCCUAUUGUCCAAAAAAUGCAAGCCUACUGUGAACCAAAAGGCAGACUGACAAUUACCCAGCAAUCACCCCCACUUUCUUACUAUCUCUUUUGCCUAAUAAAUAUGGAGGGCUGUGCAAAGUUCAGGGCCCUUGUCCACUAAAGGCAAGGUGCCCCCGACCCCUUCUUCCAAAUAUACUCUUUUGUCUCUUGUCUUUUAUUCCUGCUUUCACCCCCGUUUUUUCAGUCCAAUAGGUCUGCAACAGUGUCCCGAGGGUAUGAAUCCUGAAAGACAGCUCUCCACGAAGCAGGUAUUUACCAAGUUAGUGCACGUUCCCUGGGUAUUAAGGGAAAAUUGUAAAAUGUUCUUUACGGGGGUCCCUGUGCUGUGUUGCACGAGAAGAGAGGGUGCCUUUUUACUUUUUUAAUAUGGCUCAAUAAAAUUGUAA